AGAGUUUGAUCAUGGCUCAGAACGAACGCUGGCGGCAUGCCUAACACAUGCAAGUCGAACGGGAUCCGGACUUCGGUCCGGUGAGAGUGGCGGACGGGUGAGUAACGCGUGGGAACCUGCCCAAUGGUCUGGGAUAACCGCGGGAAACUGCGGCUAAUACCGGAUAAGCCCUCUGGCAACAGGGGGGAAAGAUUUAUCGCCGAUGGGGGGGCCCGCGUCAGAUUAGGUAGUUGGUGGGGUAAUGGCCUACCAAGCCUACGAUCUGUAGCUGGUCUGAGAGGAUGAUCAGCCACACUGGGACUGAGAUACGGCCCAGACUCCUACGGGAGGCAGCAGUGGGGAAUAUUGGACAAUGGGGGCAACCCUGAUCCAGCAAUGCCGCGUGAGUGAUGAAGGCCUUAGGGUUGUAAAGCUCUUUUGGCGGGGACGAUGAUGACGGUACCCGCAGAAUAAGCCCCGGCUAACUUCGUGCCAGCAGCCGCGGUAAUACGAAGGGGGCGAGCGUUGUUCGGAAUUACUGGGCGUAAAGGGCGCGUAGGCGGCCGAUCAAGUCAGAUGUGAAAGUCCUGGGCUUAACCUGGGGACUGCAUUUGAUACUGAUUGGCUUGAAUGCAGGAGAGGAUAGCGGAAUUCCCAGUGUAGAGGUGAAAUUCGUAGAUAUUGGGAAGAACACCGGUGGCGAAGGCGGCUAUCUGGACUGUGAUUGACGCUGAGGCGCGAAAGCGUGGGGAGCAAACAGGAUUAGAUACCCUAGUAGUCC
rnacentral:rRNA from 1 species